rnacentral:lncRNA from 10 species
GAAAACUAUGCUCUGGUUUUUCUUCAUAACAAAUAAAUCUUUUGCCUUUUACUAAAAAAGGAAAAUGAAAACUGAUUAUAUUAAACAGAGAGUUUUGUAUCCUGCUUUCUCUUCCCUUAACCUUUCCCCGUGUCAUUAAAUCCACUCCGAAAACAUGGAUUUUAAUUACCGCCUAGUGUUCGCUGAAUGCAACCAUGCCCUCUUUGUUAGAUACACUUGGUUCUUUAUGCUUAAAAGCUCCUUGGAGGGUCACCGGUUGGAACAGCCAAGUGUUGUCAUUGCUGUGGGUUGGCAAAUGGGCCCUCGCUGACUAACCUCUGCCACGUUAACACGUGGUUUUUGGAUCCGUAGCACCCCGAGCAGAAGGCAGACCGGUAUUUUGUGUUAUACAAACCGCCCCCUAAAGACAACAUUCCCGCCCUAGUGGAGGAGUACCUGGAACGCGCCACCUUCGUAGCCAAUGACCUCGACUGGCUCCUGGCCUUGCCUCACGAUAAAUUCUGGUGCCAGGUGAUCUUUGACGAGACUCUACAGAAGUGCCUGGACUCCUACCU